UCUGCGCUAUUUACGUAGUGAGAAAAUAACUAUUUAGAUAGUGAAUCGAACUCCUGCGGGUUCGCGAAAGAUGUCGUGCAGCGCGCCGGCGCCAUUGCGGGCAGUUGUCCCGCGUCGCCGGUCCUGUCACGUUCGGGUCCGUGCAUCAUCGAGUCAUUGUGCCGUGAACUGGAGGUAAACGUAAUUACUCCUGUGCUGUUUGUGCUCGGGUUGUGCAUUUAUUGUGCCAGAUUAAGGUGGACGCGUCUAAACUUUGCUGUGCUAUUCGAGGAGCUAUUAGACAGCAAUUUUCAACAUCGUGCUGCCGGAAAACAACCAAAAGCUUGUCGAACGCGACACCUGUCAUUUUUGGCCUGCACACGUGCCACCCGCGUACUUAGCUCAAACAGACCAAUACCAAUGGUUUUCAAUUUUUUAGAUCGACAACGAUUUCAACCGUUUAUAUCCAGAUUUAGGAGAUAAGUUUCAGUCCUUCUAUGUUCCAAAAAUCUUAACUUAUGCCCAGAAGAAUAACGCUGCUCUGAUUCGUCGAUAUGCUGAUAUUAAAAAUGUCGAAUUAAAAGCUAUGCUAAUCUUGAUCGAUUUAUUACCUGUAUUGAAUGCUCUUAAAUAUAAAAGUUCAAAAUCUCAAAAUAAAUCAAAAAACUCAAUGUCACAGAAGGCCUCAAAAGUCGUAACGUCGCAGGAAGUUGCAAACGGCUCAAAAUCUCAAAAGAAAUCUAACAACUCAAAACCAUACAGUUUUGUUGUCGAAAUAGCAUCGGAAUUGACUGAUUUAGCAAAGUUUGUCAGUGAUAAAAGGCGCAGUUCUUCUACAAACGUCCAACCUUAUAUAAUUUGCGUGCAAACUCUGGAAAACCAUGCUUUUUUUAUUCUCAAGGAGACGGAUGGCUUGUCAACCGCUCGGAUAAAACUAAAUUUAUACCGACAUUCGAUUUACUAUUCAAAUUGUACUAUGUUUUGAAUUUAGAAUAUCCUGUAAUUUGACAAAAUUUUUUUUAUUUCAUUCAGCGUUUUGUGUAUAAAAUUACAUCUGACACGCCUGCAGUCAGUUCAGUAACUACACUCCAUGUAAAUUUAUCGUCAAUCAAAGAUGAACAGUUGAUUGACUGCGAAUCACUAACUGAUGCUUCUGACGAUGAAUCUUUAUAAUAAACUAGCUUAACGUUCAUUUAAAA